GCAUACCUACGGGAGGCAGCAGUAGGGAAUCUUCCACAAUGGACGAAAGUCUGAUGGAGCAACGCCGCGUGAGUGAAGAAGGGUUUCGGCUCGUAAAGCUCUGUUGGGAGUGAAGAAAGAUAGAGGUAGUAACUUGCCUUUAUUUGACGGUAAUUACUUAGAAAGUCCGGGCUAACUACGUGCCAGCAGCCGCGGUAAUACGUAGGGGGCAAGCGUUGUCCGGAUUUCUUGGGCUUAAA
rnacentral:rRNA from 1 species